GUUAUCUGCUUCAGAUGCACAUGGACUAAAACUAGAAAAAGAUAAAAAUGGUUAGCAUGGGCCCAGCUCGAGGAUGACAGAAAAACUCAUGAAGUGAUCAUGUUUUUU
ensembl:snRNA U6 U6 spliceosomal RNA